UUACCAGAAAACUCUGACUGUGGGCCACAGACCCAGUGGCAGUAGGCUUGGGAAACUGACUUUGUAUGCAUGUGCAAGUUGUAGCUUGAUGGGUACUAGCUGGGGUGUGACAUCAGCAAAGCAGAAGAAAAGGGAUUCCUUCAUGGACAUGGACAACUUAAACACCACUGAAAUGCAGUGUGUUAUGGUCAGUGAACUCAUAACUACUAACGACAUGACCACCGCAUCAAGAGAAGACACAACAUCACUUCAAGGGUUGCCUGGAGGACAUGAAGAAUCAUUGUGCAUUGGGAAAUGCUUUUACAUUAUCUUCCAGCCCACCAAAUCUGCUUCAGAAUUAGAAGUCCUGAAGCAAUAAAUAUGAGAGUCUUUUGGGUCAGACUCUCUUGUUGAGAGAGGCUGAAGUCAUUCCCCUAAUAGGCUGUAUGAUUUUAACCUGGUUAUCCCACUGUGUAUAUUCAGACUGUGCUUAUUUACCCUGUUCCUGAGAACUGAGCUGACACUAUGUGCCACUGUGUGGGUUAAAGGAGCAGGGGCAAAUCCAGGUACAGGGGGAC